rnacentral:rRNA from 1 species
AUGCGCUUUCUCAUAAUGCACGAGAGGGCGACGCCCGGAAGUGUCAGAGAUCGGCGACCGGCAGGGAGACGUCCCGCCCUUCCUCCUCCGGGGAACAUGCCGGCAGGUUACUUCCCCUCCCAUGCAUGCAUCGCCCGCUCCGCCUCCGGUCUCCCAACCACAUAUCAUCCACAGAGGCCUACAUAUAGAAACCACGUAUUAUCCACGAGCAUCCAUGGAGCCUGGACCAACUGA